UUGAAAGGGAAACGAUUGAAGUCAGUCGUACCGGUGGGUAAUCAGCCUUUCGGCGUGAUUAUGUGGAGCGUGAGGAGUUAAACGCCCUCAUGCCUGCAUAUUCGUGUUCUUUGGGUGUACUUACCCGCAUGGUAGGUUAACAUCAAUUUCGAACGUCAUAAAAUGAUUGGAGGAAUGUAGCUUCGAUCUCGUAUUGAAGUGUUAUAGCCUUCGGUAGAUGUGAUGAUUGGGAUUGAGGAUUGCAACGGAUACCCUUCGGGGCUACCUGUCUGAUCUCUGAAAGUUGCUCUGGUGCUGAAAGCUUGCUUAUGGUAUCAAAGUUGACGUUCAACAGGUUAGAACGGGAUAAAUUCGUUAAGGAUGUUGACGUCUA
rnacentral:rRNA from 1 species